rnacentral:rRNA from 1 species
UAGUCAUAUGCUUUUCUCAAAGAUUAAGCCAUGCAUUUCUAAGUACAAGCCUCACUAAGGUGAAACCGCGAAUGGCUCAUUAAAUCACACCUAAUCUACUGGAUAGUUAACAGUUACUUGGAUAACUGCGGUAAUUCUGGAGCUAAUACAUGCACAAAGCCCCGAACUUACGUGAGGGGCGCUUUUAUUAGAUCAAAACCAAACGGCUUCGGCUGUAUCCUUGGUGACUCUGAAUAACUUUGGGCUGAUCGCAUGGCCUAGCGCCGGCGACAUAUCCUUCGAAGGUGUGCCCUAUCAACUGUCGACUGUGGCAUAGACGCCCACAGUGGUUUUGACGGGUAACGGGGAAUCAGGGUUCGAUUCCGGAGAGGGAGCCUUAAAAACGGCUACCACAUCUAAGGAAGGCAGCAGGCACGCAAAUUACCCAAUGACCGAAGGUCGAGGUAGUGACAAAAAAUAACGAUACGGGACUCAUCUGAGGCCCCGUAAUCGGAAUGAGUACACUUUAAAACCGUCCCCGAGGAUCUAUU